rnacentral:rRNA from 1 species
GUGUACACAAGAUAGAGCUUAACAUCAAGUUUACAUAAACUUUACAUUUAAAUCCGCCUUCAAAAGAAUUUUCAGUAUCUUUAUCUGUUUUAAUCAUUUUAAAUGUAACCCACCUCUAUCUUCUAUAUAAGCUGCACCUUUACUUGAAGUACUUGAUUUUAUCAUGAUAGAAAGUUUUCUAAGAAAACUGACUGACAACAGCGGUAUACAAACUGAUUACAAACAAAAGUAGAGUAUCUCGUGGCUUAUCGUUUACAGGGCAGGUUCCUCUAAAUAGCUAUCUUGCCGCCAAAUCCGUUAAAUUUCAUUAUUAUUACUAUUCCAAAAAAUUUUAACUAUAAGUA